rnacentral:rRNA from 1 species
AUUGAACGCUGGCGGCAGGCCUAACACAUGCAAGUCGAGCGGUAGAGAGAAGCUUGCUUCUCUUGAGAGCGGCGGACGGGUGAGUAAUGCCUAGGAAUCUGCCUGGUAGUGGGGGAUAACGUUCGGAAACGGACGCUAAUACCGCAUACGUCCUACGGGAGAAAGCAGGGGACCUUCGGGCCUUGCGCUAUCAGAUGAGCCUAGGUCGGAUUAGCUAGUUGGUGAGGUAAUGGCUCACCAAGGCAACGAUCCGUAACUGGUCUGAGAGGAUGAUCCGCCACACUGGGACUGAGACACGGCCCAGACUCCUACGGGAGGCAGCAGUGGGGAAUAUUGGACAAUGGGGGGAACCCUGAUCCAGCCAUGCCGCGUGUGUGAAGAAGGCCUUUUGGUUGUAAAGCACUUUAAGCGAGGAGGAGGCUCCCAGUAUUAAUACUACUGGAGAGUGGACGUUACUCGCAGAAUAAGCACCGGCUAACUCUGUGCCAGCAGCCGCGGUAAUACGUAGGGUGCGAGCGUUAAUCGGAAUUACUGGGCGUAAAGCGUGCGCAGGCGGUUUGAUAAGACAGGCGUGAAAUCCCCGGGCUCAACCUGGGAAUUGCAUUGGAGACUGCAAGGCUAGAAUCUGGCAGAGGGGGGUAGAAUUCCACGU